AGAGUUUGAUCAUGGCUCAGAACGAACGCUGGCGGCGUGGAUAAGACAUGCAAGUCGAACGGGAUUAUUUUUGUAGCAAUACAGAAAUAAUUCAGUGGCGAACGGGUGCGUAACACGUGGGCAAUCUGCCGAAAAGUGGGGGAUAGCUCGCCGAAAGGCGAAUUAAUACCGCAUGUGGUGAGGGACGACAUCUUCCUGAAUCCAAAGCCGGGGCAACCUGGCGCUUUUUGAGGAGCCCGCGGCCUAUCAGCUAGUUGGUGAGGUAACGGCCCACCAAGGCUAUGACGGGUAGCUGGUCUGAGAGGACGACCAGUCACACUGGAACUGAGACACGGUCCAGACACCUACGGGUGGCAGCAGUCGAGAAUUUUUCUCAAUGGGGGCAACCCUGAAGGAGCGACGCCGCGUGGAGGAUGAAGGCUUUCGGGUUGUAAACUCCUGUCAUUUGGGAACAAGUUGUACGUGUUAACUGCACGUGCAUUGAUAGUACCAGAAGAGGAAGAGACGGCUAACUCUGUGCCAGCAGCCGCGGUAAUACAGAGGUCUCGAGCGUUGUUCGGAUUCAUUGGGCGUAAAGGGUGCGUAGGUGGCGCAGUAAGUCGGGUGUGAAAUCCUGAGGCUUAACCUCGGAACUGCAUUCGAUACUGCUGUGCUUGAGGACUGGAGAGGAGACUGGAAUUCAUGGUGUAGCAGUGAAAUGCGUAGAGAUCAUGAGGAAGACCAGUGGCGAAGGCGGGUCUCUGGACAGUUCCUGACACUGAGGCACGAAGGCCAGGGGAGCAAACGGGAUUAGAUACCCCCGUAGUCC
rnacentral:rRNA from 1 species